rnacentral:rRNA from 1 species
GAUGAACGCUAGCUAUAGGCUUAACACAUGCAAGUCGAGGGGAAACGGCAUUAUGUGCUUGCACAUUUUGGACGUCGACCGGCGCACGGGUGAGUAUCGCGUAUCCAACCUGCCCUUUACUUGGGGAUACCCCGUUGAAAGACGGCCUAAUACCCGAUGUAAUUCAUUGAUGGCAUCAGAUAUGAAUAAAAGAUUUAUCGGUAAAGGAUGGGGAUGCGUCUGAUUAGCUUGUUGGUGAGGUAACGGCUCACCAAGGCGACGAUCAGUAGGGGUUCUGAGAGGAAGGUCCCCCACAUUGGAACUGAGACACGGUCCAAACUCCUACGGGAGGCAGCAGUGAGGAAUAUUGGUCAAUGGGCGCAAGCCUGAACCAGCCAAGUAGCGUGCAGGAAGACGGCCCUAUGGGUGGUAAACUGCUUUUAGACGAGAAUAAUUUGAUGCACGGGUGCGUUAUUGCAUGUAGCGUAUGAAUAAGGACCGGCUAAUUCCGUG